GUGCAGUAGCCCAUAUGCCUCUGACUCUGGGCCGCGUCCUACUGUUCCUUCAGUCCUUCCUGGAAUUCUUGGCUUGGACUUUUGUUUUAUUUGUUUGUCUCAGAACAACACUGCCAGGAUCUGAGCUGCCUUCUGGAGCAGGAAAGAAUAAGGGAACAGAUGGCAGAAAUUUCCCAAGGGAGAAAAGAGAAUUACUAGAGAAGAUCAGGAUCAGACCUGCACAGGUGAUCAUGAAAUCAAAAUGCCUGGAAACUCAAUUUCUCAAGGUCGAUAUAACCCAUGCCUAGAACUUUUCCUGAACAUUGGGCUUGCCUGGAGAUGACAUUGAAAAGUUCCCUUAUUACAGGCAGACAGCUGAAUGCCCUCAAGCUGAAAGUAAGACCUUGCUUGACUUAGAAAAUGAAUGUCAUUUUUCUGGUAUUGUUAUU